AGCGAACGUUAGCGGCGCGCUUAACACAUGCAAGUCGCACGAGAAAGGGCUUCGGCCCCAGUAAAGUGGCGCACGGGUGCGUAACACGUAGGCAAUCUUCCCUUGAGCGGGGGAUAACGUUUCGAAAGAGACGCUAAUACCGCAUAAGACCACGACCGGUUCGCCGGUUGCGGUCAAAGCUGGCCUCUUCAUGAAAGCUAGCACUUAAGGACGAGCCUGCGGCCCAUCAUGCUAGUUGGUAGGGUAACGGCCUACCAAGGCGAAGACGGGUAGCUGGUCUGAGAGGAUGAUCAGCCACACUGGAACUGAAACACGGUCCAGACUCCUACGGGAGGCAGCAGUGGGGAAUAUUGGACAAUGGGCGAAAGCCUGAUCCAGCGACGCCGCGUGAGUGAUGAAGGCCUGGUUGUAAG
rnacentral:rRNA from 1 species